rnacentral:rRNA from 1 species
UGUUUCGGCAAGGGGGUCAUCCCGACUUACCAACCCGAUGCAAACUGCGAAUACCGGAGAAUGUUAUCACGGGAGACACACGGCGGGUGCUAACGUCCGUCGUGAAGAGGGAAACAACCCAGACCGCCAGCUAAGGUCCCAAAGUCAUGGUUAAGUGGGAAACGAUGUGGGAAGGCCCAGACAGCCAGGAUGUUGGCUUAGAAGCAGCCAUCAUUUAAAGAAAGCGUAAUAGCUCACUGGUCGAGUCGGCCUGCGCGGAAGAUGUAACGGGGCUAAACCAUGCACCGAAGCUGCGGCAGCGACGCUUAUGCGUUGUUGGGUAGGGGAGCGUUCUGUAAGCCUGUGAAGGUGUGCUGUGAGGCAUGCUGGAGGUAUCAGAAGUGCGAAUGCUGACAUAAGUAACGAUAAAGCGGGUGAAAAGCCCGCUCGCCGGAAGACCAAGGGUUCCUGUCCAACGUUAAUCGGGGCAGGGUGAGUCGACCCCUAAGGCGAGGCCGAAAGGCGUAGUCGAUGGGAAACAGGUUAAUAUUCCUGUACUUGGUGUUACUGCGAAGGGGGGACGGAGAAGGCUAUGUUGGCCGGGCGACGGUUGUCCCGGUUUAAGCGUGUAGGCUGGUUUUCCAGGCAAAUCCGGAAAAUCAAGGCUGAGGCGUGAUGACGAGGCACUACGGUGCUGAAGCAACAAAUGCCCUGCUUCCAGGAAAAGCCUCUAAGCAUCAGGUAACAUCAAAUCGUACCCCAAACCGACACAGGUGGUCAGGUAGAGAAUACCAAGGCGCUUGAGAGAACUCGGGUGAAGGAACUAGGCAAAAUGGUGCCGUAACUUCGGGAGAAGGCACGCUGAUAUGUAGGUGAAGUCCCUCGCGGAUGGAGCUGAAAUCAGUCGAAGAUACCAGCUGGCUGCAACUGUUUAUUAAAAACACAGCACUGUGCAAACACGAAAGUGGACGUAUACGGUGUGACGCCUGCCCGGUGCCGGAAGGUUAAUUGAUGGGGUCAGCGCAAGCGAAGCUCUUGAUCGAAGCCCCGGUAAACGGCGGCCGUAACUAUAACGGUCCUAAGGUAGCGAAAUUCCUUGUCGGGUAAGUUCCGACCUGCACGAAUGGCGUAAUGAUGGCCAGGCUGUCUCCACCCGAGACUCAGUGAAAUUGAACUCGCUGUGAAGAUGCAGUGUACCCGCGGCAAGACGGAAAGACCCCGUGAACCUUUACUAUAGCUUGACACUGAACAUUGAGCCUUGAUGUGUAGGAUAGGUGGGAGGCUUAGAAGUGUGGACGCCAGUCUGCAUGGAGCCGACCUUGAAAUACCACCCUUUAAUGUUUGAUGUUCUAACGUUGACCCGUAAUCCGGGUUGCGGACAGUGUCUGGUGGGUAGUUUGACUGGGGCGGUCUCCUCCUAAAGAGUAACGGAGGAGCACGAAGGUUGGCUAAUCCUGGUCGGACAUCAGGAGGUUAGUGCAAUGGCAUAAGCCAGCUUGACUGCGAGCGUGACGGCGCGAGCAGGUGCGAAAGCAGGUCAUAGUGAUCCGGUGGUUCUGAAUGGAAGGGCCAUCGCUCAACGGAUAAAAGGUACUCCGGGGAUAACAGGCUGAUACCGCCCAAGAGUUCAUAUCGACGGCGGUGUUUGGCACCUCGAUGUCGGCUCAUCACAUCCUGGGGCUGAAGUAGGUCCCAAGGGUAUGGCUGUUCGCCAUUUAAAGUGGUACGCGAGCUGGGUUUAGAACGUCGUGAGACAGUUCGGUCCCUAUCUGCCGUGGGCGCUGGAGAACUGAGGGGGGCUGCUCCUAGUACGAGAGGACCGGAGUGGACGCAUCACUGGUGUUCGGGUUGUCAUGCCAAUGGCACUGCCCGGUAGCUAAAUGCGGAAGAGAUAAGUGCUGAAAGCAUCUAAGCACGAAACUUGC